UACGAAGGGGGCUAGCGUUGUUCGGAAUCACUGGGCGUAAAGCGCACGUAGGCGGAUUUUUAAGUCAGGGGUGAAAUCCCGAGGCUCAACCUCGGAACUGCCUUUGAUACUGGGGAUCUGGAGUCCGGGAGAGGUGAGCGGAACUGCGAGUGUAGAGGUGAAAUUCGUAGAUAUUCGCAAGAACACCAGUGGCGAAGGCGGCUCACUGGCCCGAUACUGACGCUGAGGCACGAAAGCGUGGGGAGCAAACAGG
rnacentral:rRNA from 1 species